rnacentral:rRNA from 1 species
GACGAACGCUGGCGGCGCGCCUAACACAUGCAAGUCGAACGAGCGAGAGAGAGCUUGCUUUCUCGAGCGAGUGGCGAACGGGUGAGUAACGCGUGAGGAACCUGCCUCAAAGAGGGGGACAACAGUUGGAAACGACUGCUAAUACCGCAUAAGCCCACGGCUCGGCAUCGAGCAGGGGGAAAAGGAGCAAUCCGCUUUGAGAUGGCCUCGCGUCCGAUUAGCUAGUUGGUGAGGUAACGGCCCACCAAGGCGACGAUCGGUAGCCGGACUGAGAGGUUGAACGGCCACAUUGGGACUGAGACACGGCCCAGACUCCUACGGGAGGCAGCAGUGGGGAAUAUUGCACAAUGGGGGAAACCCUGAUGCAGCGACGCCGCGUGGAGGAAGAAGGUCUUCGGAUUGUAAACUCCUGUUGUUGGGGAAGAUAAUGACGGUACCCAACAAGGAAGUGACGGCUAACUACGUG